CAGUCAUCAAGCGUGCAUGGCAGAAGUGGAGAGGGAUCGAUAAAGUUUCACUGCAGAAAGUCUCCACUGCGGUAUGCUGACAUCUGCCCUGAACCUUCGCCCUACAGCAUUACAGGCUUUAAUCAGAUUCUGCUGGAAAGACACAGGCUGAUCCACGUGACCUCUUCUGCCUUCACUGGGCUGGGGUGAUCCUUGGUGCCUUUGUUUCCACAAGGCCUUUUCCUGCCCCCUGCCUUGCCAAAGACAUUUAAUCAGCACACAGCUGCCAGACUAUUCCCACAGUGCUCCAAAUGCACAUGAACAACAGUGACGGCUCCAGCCCUCGACCCAGAGCCCCGUGCCCAGUGCGUCAGUGGGCCUGGGGUUCCAGGCUACAUCAAGCACGGAUGGUGUCAGGGCUGGUAGUUACCAAACCAGGGUUAAGAAACAUCAGGGCCACAUUUCAUUACCUUCACAGAUCAAACUCAGCAGCAGUCAUGACUGUCUGUCACUACAUUGGGGAUCCCAAUUCCACAUAAGCACUUUUGGAAGAAAACAGCCAAAGUUGGCCUAAAAUUGGCGCUGGAAUUUGGGCUGGGAAAAAUCUUGUGGUUACUUUCUUUAAAAAGGAACAAAACUUUAGUAUUUAAUUAGUUGAUCUAUUUAAUGUAAUUUCAAACAAUUAAAUUAUGAAUAAUGCAAUGUACAGUAGAAUCACGUUUUGAUUUUAUUAACACUGACCAAGUUUAACUCCAUAUGAAGUGUAAGCUUGGUAUCGUUUAUGAUGUCUAUCAACUGUACCAAAAGUAAAACAUUUAAAAACAAUCACCUGAAUGUCAAGUUUUCUCUCCAUAAAGGACUUGCCACCUUAAGGACCCCACGUCUGCCUGAAACAUGAGCCACAUCAAUGCCGGUAAAGGCCUGCAUGACCUAAUCUGCAUCCUGGAAACCUCUUUUGCCUGAGCUCCCCCGCCCCCCACUAGCUGGUCUCCUGGGAGAGGGAGCAGGCAGGUUCCGGGAGUCAAGCACACGCUUGAGCAAGUAGCACAAUAAUCUAUCUUAAGACUCCUCAUUCUGGGAUGGCUCCACAAUUCCUAAACAGCAGUCUGCAAACUCCACAAACAAAGGCUCUUGCAUGUAAGCUCUCAUGAGCUUUGCUUUGUCUUCUCCCUGAUCGAGGUUGACCAUCAACUGCCUGAGGUGUGGAUUGAGUAAUAAGCUUCUUAAUGUUGCAGAUUCCCCUAAAAAUUAACAAGAAAAAAAGCCAGUCUGAGUUCAAGUGGAAACACAUGGAGAUGGCUGAAAAGUGAAGAACUAUUUCAAGUGUAAUAAAACUAUCAGCAAGGUGUGGUGGCUCAUGCCUG
rnacentral:lncRNA from 1 species